rnacentral:rRNA from 1 species
AACGAACGCUGGCGGCAGGCUUAACACAUGCAAGUCGAACGCGAAAUCACCUUCGGGUGGUGGAGAGUGGCAGACGGGUGAGUAACGCGUGGGAACCUACCUAGAGGUACGGAAUAACUCAGGGAAACUUGGGCUAAUACCGUAUGUGCCCGAAAGGGGAAAGAUUCAUCGCCACUAGAUGGGCCCGCGUCGGAUUAGCUUGUUGGUGAGGUAACGGCUCACCAAGGCGACGAUCCGUAGCUGGUCUGAGAGGAUGAUCAGCCACACUGGGACUGAUACACGGCCCAGACUCCUACGGGAGGCAGCAGUGGGGAAUAUUGGACAAUGGGCGCAAGCCUGAUCCAGCCAUGCCGCGUGAGUGAUGAAGGCCCUAGGGUUGUAAAGCUCUUUCGGCGGGGACGAUAAUGACGGUACCCGCAGAAGAAGCCCCGGCUAACUUCGUGCCAGCCGCCGCGGUAA